rnacentral:sRNA from 1 species
UAUGUAAUUUAAGGGUAUUUAUGAAGAAAUAAAAUAGUAAUUCACUUACUCAUAAGCACCAAUGGUUUCAAUUAAAGCAGAUCAUUUUACCUAAAUACAUGGCAAAUAAAUCUGUUUCGCUAGAUGUCUAAACUGAGUAAAAAUAGACAAUAUUUUGACUUUUUUUCCAGCAAGGAUUUGAAAGAUGCCAUGGAAGUUCUGAUAGCAGAAAAAAGACGCAGGAUUUCCACAGAAGAGAAACUGGAAGAAUGUAUGGACUUUGCCACUGAGUUGAUUUUAGCAGAGAAACGUGGUGACCUGACAAGAGAGAAUGUGAACCAGUGCAUAUUGGAAAUGCUGAUCGCAGCUCCUGACACCAUGUCUGUCUCUUUGUUCUUCAUGCUAUUUCUCAUUGCAAAGCACCCUAAUGUUGAAGAGGCAAUAAUAAAGGAAAUCCAGACUGUUAUUGGUGAGAGAGACAUAAAGAUUGAUGAUAUACAAAAAUUAAAAGUGAUGGAAAACUUCAUUUAUGAGAGCAUGCGGUACCAGCCUGUCGUGGACUUGGUCAUGCGCAAAGCCUUAGAAGAUGAUGUAAUCGAUGGCUACCCAGUGAAAAAGGGGACAAACAUUAUCCUGAAUAUUGGAAGGAUGCACAGACUCGAGUUUUUCCCCAAACCCAAUGAAUUUACUCUUGAAAAUUUUGCAAAGAAUGUUCCUUAUAGGUACUUUCAGCCAUUUGGCUUUGGGCCCCGUGGCUGUGCAGGAAAGUACAUCGCCAUGGUGAUGA